AUACAAAUCAUCUGGGGAUCUUGUUUAAAUGCAGAUUCUGAUCCCAUAGGUGUGGGGGUUUGGGGUGAGGCCUGAGCUUCUGCAUUCCUAACAAGCUCCCAGGUGAUGGCAAU
rnacentral:pre_miRNA from 1 species